AACGAACGCUGGCGGCAUGCCUAACACAUGCAAGUCGAACGAGACCUUCGGGUCUAGUGGCGCACGGGUGCGUAACGCGUGGGAACCUGCCCUUAGGUUCGGAAUAACUCCCCGAAAGGGGUGCUAAUACCGGAUAAUGUCUUCGGACCAAAGAUUUAUCGCCUUUGGAUGGGCCCGCGUUGGAUUAGCUAGUUGGUAGGGUAAAAGCCUACCAAGGCGACGAUCCAUAGCUGGUCUGAGAGGAUGAUCAGCCACACUGGGACUGAGACACGGCCCAGACUCCUACGGGAGGCAGCAGUGGGGAAUAUUGAACAGUGGGCGAAAGCCUGAUCCAGCAAUGCCGCGUGAGUGAUGAAGGCCUUAGGGUUGUAAAGCUCUUUUACCCGGGAUGAUAAUGACAGUACCGGGAGAAUAAGCUCCGGCUAACUCCGUG
rnacentral:rRNA from 1 species